AGCAAAGGAGCUGCACUUUGUUAGAAACAUGGUUACAUAAGAAUGCUCCAUGGGAAAGAAAAAGUCUCUGUAAGCGAGAAGGAGAGAAACCGUAGGAGUGCACAAGUGGUACACUUUGAAGGGAGGUGAAGUCUUCAUCUUGUAGAUUCAUAUUCUGGAGGAAGUCACUGCAGGCAUCAGAUGGAUGCAUUGAUGAAUGCCUGAGUGCAGUGAUUUACAUACGGUUUGUUGUGUAAUUCAACCUUAAACAUGAACAAGUGAACAGAUCCUGUCAGAUUUUGUCUGAAUAUUGUGGUUCCAAAUAGGAGACUGAUACGGAGGUGAACGUCACAGCUAUCUUGCUGUGCCAACUUGCCAACAUGGAACUUAGGGAUGUGAGCAGAGGAGCAGGAAUGGUGGACAGGUGCUGAUAGUUGCUGAUUCUGCUGCCACUGCUUCGGGGGGGGAUGUGCUUUUCAGGAUUCCCUGGAGGCUGAGAGACACGGGUGCGAUACGUCGCCCCCCCGGGGCCGGGACCCGGCGAGGGUUAGAGCAGGAGGGAGGGGUGCGGCUGCCACUCGGAGAGGCUGUCAGACGUGGGCUGGCGCUGCAGAUAGUGCCUGUAGAACGUCAUCGCCGUGGAAGCGACUCGACCUCUGACAUCCGCAGCACUCACUGUAGUUCAGGAAGGACUCCUAGUCUGACAGUAAUAGCCUGUAUUUUAGUCCUUCGCUUCCAGAUACACACAAACAUACACACAUGCAUAUAUAAUUCAAAUAAAAAAUAUAUAUAAAACUGCAAAAUAAACUAUAUGCCGUAAUAAAAAUAAGAUAUAAAUUACAUUUAUUUAUUUCCUGGACACUAAAUCACAAGCAUUCUUGACUUUUUGGUAGCCCCACUAAAUAUGAUUAACCUGAUUUUCAGCUCUUGGCUGCAAGACAGAACGGUGUGUUGUGAUGCAAAAGGGCUUCCAGUCAGGUUUCUGUCUGCGGAGAUUCUUUAACCAAGUUUGAUUUUGGCAACAUCAAGGCAGAGAUUUAGUGGUAUUAUAAUGUGAAACAUAUUUAAGGUAAUUGAUGGUUUUUAUCAAAUCAAAUAGCCAGAUGAAGGGCCAUUACUAAGUACCCUUCCAGUGUAUGUAAAGUAUAUUCUUUUGUAAUUAUAUCGCAGAAAAUUGCAGCGGAGGAAAUAAAUUUGAAUCAAACUGCAGGCACAAUGAAAUAUGAGUCCUGAAAAGGAAAAUGGAUUUGGUUGUUGAACCUAACAGUUACAGAAUCCAUCCAGCUGGGAUCUAAGUACCACUUCUUUUCCCGUGAACUUCUUUCAGUUUAUUGCUCCUGAUAAUUUAACAUUUGAUCCCCAUGAUACAUCUUGGACCCCAAUCAGAUAAAUAACCCUUAAGAUAACUAUUAAUUAAGUAUUAUAUCUGCAUACAUAUUUGACAAAGCGGAAACUGUCAUUCAUCAAUAAAGAUUUUUUUUCUGGCCAAAAUGACAAUGAAUCAAUAAAUUAAUAUAUUAAUUCACUUAAAAGCGUAAAAUUGUAGGUGUGUGUGCAUGUGGCUGCAUGUGUUUAUUGAUCGCAUGGGUCAAGUAUGUAGGAAUUGGCCAAAUAUCAUAAAUGUAGCUAUUUUUAUGCUGAUGUCUUGACCCCUCUGACUUCCUGAGCAAAAGGCACAAGUGGCUCAUUGCACUGGCUAUUUCACGAGAGAUCUAAUGGUUAUUAUGGGUUUCUGCUGGCAGUGAAGCCCUGCCCACUCCGCUCCUGCAAGGCCAGGCUCCCCCUUCCCACUGGGCUCUUAAUCUGGUUUGGGGGACUGAAGGGGCGAGUCUCAGUCUUGGCUCCGGCCUCUGUUAGUUUGGGGGAGGAUUAAGGCAAGAAUGCCCCCGACGCAGCGUGAAAGGUGACCUGGCACCCUGGCAGCCGUCCAGUUCAGGUGCAGCUUAUCCUCACCCCACAAAUUCUAUACGGCACUUUCAGGGCCCCGAUCACCCAAUUAAACAUGGCCGGUUGACCCCGGUCAGGGAGGCGGAGCCUCGGACCCCCGUUACCACAGAGAGGACCACCUGUCACUCCUCAGAUCAAAUGAAACCCUGAAGAGACAGAACUCCCCAUGAACACAGAACACACCUCCUAAAUCUCUCCCCCCGGCGCCAGUGGGGGGCUCUCUGCCUUUUCUUCUUCUAAAUGUCAUUAUUGUAAUGCUGUAAUCCAGGCAUGCGCUUAUCAAACAAAAAGAGCCGGCACACAUUAAAACCCCCGUUGCUGUUGUCGACUCCGUCAUCAUGGUCGCCGCUGCCGCUCACGGCUGCGGUUCACCAGCAGCGCUCUCGUUUUCGGGAAUAUGGAUGAAAAGCGAAGACAGCAGGAGAGCCAAGGCGAGCGCGGGGAUCCGGGUCACACCCUCCAGCUCGAGUAACGGAUCAGGACCCACUCGCGAUUCCAGCUCGUCUGCCAGCCCGCGAGUUGACGGCGUUGGCGUGCGCCCCCGUCCCGUUCCGCGGAGAGCGCGCAGCCCCAGGUUAUUUACGGCGGCCUGCUGUGUUCUCAGCUCUCUAUUGCAGGGGGAUAAAAAAAAAAAAGCAGANCAU